rnacentral:rRNA from 1 species
AGUAACGCGUGAGGAACCUGCCUCAAAGAGGGGGACAACAGUUGGAAACGACUGCUAAUACCGCAUAAGCCCACGGCUCGGCAUCGAGCAGAGGGAAAAGGAGUGAUCCGCUUUGAGAUGGCCUCGCGUCCGAUUAGCUAGUUGGUGAGGUAACGGCCCACCAAGGCGACGAUCAGUAGCCGGACUGAGAGGUUGACCGGCCACAUUGGGACUGAGAUACGGCCCAG